rnacentral:rRNA from 1 species
GGACUACCAGGGUAUCUAAUCCUGUUUGCUCCCCACGCUUUCGCGUCUCAGCGUCAGUCAUCGUCCAGAUAGCCGCCUUCGCCACCGGUGUUCCUCUCGAUAUCUACGAAUUUCACCUCUACACCGAGAAUUCCACUAUCCUCUCCGAGACUCUAGUCAUGCAGUUUCGAGUGCACUUCCCCGGUUGAGCCGAGGGCUUUCACACCCGACUUGCACGACCGCCUACACGCGCUUUACGCCCAGUAAUUCCGAACAACGUUUGCACCCUCUGUCUUACCGCGGCGGCUGGCAC